UUGCUUUAAUGGUGGAAUUUUAUGCUCUUGCCUCAUAAUUGAAAGACCUCUCUGAUGUAAACUGGAACUUGUACUUAUUCCAAGAGAGUACAAUUGGCCGAUCCUAUAUGUUUGUGAAGUUUGUAACAGCAUUUAUUCAGAAGUAAGCAUUAUCUUGAAAGCUUUCCAAAAGCCUGACUUUAUAACAGAAA
rnacentral:lncRNA from 1 species